GAUGAACGCUGGCGGCGUGCCUAAUACAUGCAAGUCGAGCGAACAGACGAGGAGCUUGCUCCUCUGACGUUAGCGGCGGACGGGUGAGUAACACGUGGAUACCCUACCUAUAAGACUGGGAUAACUUCGGGAAACCGGAGCUAAUACCGGAUAACAUGUUGAACCGCAUGGUUCAACAGUGAAAGACGGUCUUGCUGUCACUUAUAGAUGGAUCCGCGCCGCAUUAGCUAGUUGGUAAGGUAACGGCUUACCAAGGCAACGAUGCGUAGCCGACCUGAGAGGGUGAUCGGCCACACUGGAACUGAGACACGGUCCAGACUCCUACGGGAGGCAGCAGUAGGGAAUCUUCCGCAAUGGGCGAAAGCCUGACGGAGCAACGCCGCGUGAGUGAAGAAGGUCUUCGGAUCGUAAAACUCUGUUAUUAGGGAAGAACAAAUGUGUAAGUAACUAUGCACGUCUUGACGGUACCUAAUCAGAAAGCCACGGCUAACUACGUG
rnacentral:rRNA from 1 species